AGUGAACGCUGGCGGUAUGCCUAACACAUGCAAGUCGAACGGCAGCACAGUAAGAGCUUGCUCUUACGGGUGGCGAGUGGCGGACGGGUGAGGAAUACAUCGGAAUCUACUUUUUCGUGGGGGAUAACGUAGGGAAACUUACGCUAAUACCGCAUACGACCUACGGGUGAAAGCAGGGGAUCUUCGGACCCUGCGCGAUUGAAUGAGCCGAUGUCGGAUUAGCUAGUUGGCGGGGUAAAGGCCCACCAAGGCGACGAUCCGUAGCUGGUCUGAGAGGAUGAUCAGCCACACUGGAACUGAGACACGGUCCAGACUCCUACGGGAGGCAGCAGUAGGGAAUCUUGGGCCCUGGGCGCCCGCCUGCUCCCGCCCUGCCGCGUGGGUGAUGAAGGCCUUCGGGUUGUAAAGCCCUUUUGUUGGGAAAGAAAAGCUGCCGGUUCAUACACCGCUGUUCUGCCGGUCCCCCCGGAGUAAGCCCCGGCUCCCUUCGUG
rnacentral:rRNA from 1 species